ACGUACACUCCUACGGGAGGCAGCAGUGGGGAAUAUUGCACAAUGGGCGCAAGCCUGAUGCAGCCAUGCCGCGUGUAUGAAGACGGCCUUCGGGUUGUAAAGUACUUUCAGCGGGGAGGAAGGCGAUAAGGUUAAUAACCUUGUCGAUUGACGUUACCCGCAGAAGAAGCACCGGCUAACUCCGUGCCAGCAGCCGCGGUAAUACGGAGGGUGCAAGCGUUAAUCGGAAUUACUGGGCGUAAAGCGCACGCAGGCGGUCUGUCAAGUCGGAUGUGAAAUCCCCGGGCUCAACCUGGGAACUGCAUUCGAAACUGGCAGGCUAGAGUCUUGUAGAGGGGGGUAGAAUUCCAGGUGUAGCGGUGAAAUGCGUAGAGAUCUGGAGGAAUACCGGUGGCGAAGGCGGCCCCCUGGACAAAGACUGACGCUCAUGUGCGAAAGCGUGGGGAGCAAACAGGAUUAGAUACCCCAGUAGUCCCAUG
rnacentral:rRNA from 1 species